rnacentral:lncRNA from 1 species
GACUCGACUUGUAUCAAGAGUAAAAGCUCCUGACUAGCUUUAGAGUACACGACAAUUGGUACUACUUCGCUAUCGGUCACCGUUAAGGACGAUUCGACUUGUGUUCAUCGAAUUGACUCCAGAGAAGAAAAGCAAAGAAGGAGCUUUCUAUUUGGGUCCACUCGAUCAGUAUCCCUUGAAUUUACUUUCCACAAGUGCAAAGCCUUCUAUUUCGGCGGGUUGAAAGUGCCAUAAAGGACUAUGAUCUCUUUCGUCAGAAAAGAAAUUGUGUAAAUUCUACCUUUUUUUAUCCUAAUUUCCCACUCUUUCUGUGAGGCAAAACCUCACCACACUACACUGAACUUCGACACAAGAGAAGAGGACCGGGCGCUUUGUAUCUUCGGGAUAGGAGUUGGCGGUCUUCUUUAAGAGAACUUUAAUCUAAUACUCAUUAUGGAUCAACUCAUGUUUCCACUCUAUUUUCAUUACGAGGAUGUAUCACGUCAAGAUUCGUUGCUCAAACCGAAUCACGCCAACGUUAUGGUAGUUCCUGGAUCGUGUAAAAUAAUAGUAGUACCAAAGACAACACCUUCUAUCAAAAAUGGAAAAUUGGCUAUGGAGAUUCCGUGCGGUCAGAAAUUAAUACAGACACAAAGGGCUUCAACAGGAAAGUCGUUUCGAUCCAAUCCAUUCUUAGGGUCAAAUAAAGACAAAAAAGGAUAUGUCAGUGACCUAGCGCGACAAAGCACUCUCCGAGGGCAUGGAAUGUCACAUUUUUGGUCAGAAUAUCCACAGUAAUGUCUCUGUUAGAUUCUCCGCUCGAAAUAAAGGAAAGGUCAAUUCAAUUCUUGAUGGAAACGGAAUUUAUGAAUUCUCCCCCGAACUAGAAGAUCAUUUCGAGAUCUUCGAACAUAUUUGAGGGUUCAAUGUUACUAUUGUAACUUUGGCCAACACACAAGAUGAGACUUUACCACCGUGGAGCGGCUUUUUACAAAAAUAUGAGGGGGAAACUGAGUAAGAUGUCGGAGAAGCAAAAUAUACGAGAUCACAAAUGCAGAUUGCUCGCGGCUAGGCUAAAUAUGAAUUGAGACAAAAGCUUUACAAAUCCCUUUGUAAAGUUCCCGAUCUUCCUAGUGAUAUGCGGGACAAACAUCGUUAGUUGUUGUCCAAGUUGCCAAGAAAUAGUGCCUUUGCACGAGUCAAAAACUGAUGUAUUUACACGGGUUGCCCUCGUUCCGUAUAUGAGUUCUUCCAAAUUUCUCGUAUCCUUUUUCAUGGAUUAGCAUCUCGAGGUCCUUUGAUGGGCAUAAAGAAAUUGUCUUGGUAGCAACCACCAAACCAAUAGAACAAGGGUUAGCUCCGCAGCAGGUCUACAAGCAAGGUAAGUAGGUCCAUUACCAGCCGGCUCCAGAUCGAAAAGACCUAACGGGCUAAUCCCUUAUUUAGGAUCGUAGAUGCUAACGGGACGGGAAUCGAAGUGGGGGACCCCUCUACCGCCUGUGUCUAUCUCCUGUCAAGUAUGCUCCCCAGACAUAGACUACGUACAGGGUAGUACUCUUGGAAAGAUGGAAUAUCACCGCGUGAACAUAACAUUACAUUAAGUUAUGAAUGUAACUCCCGAAGGAUCGACCACUAUUCUAAAUAUAGUAAGGUGGAGAACUGUUGUUCAGUGGAGCGCCGGAGUGCGGAGGUUGUUCCCAUCAUUGAAGUCAGGGUGUGGGACUGAGCCUUCCAAAUGAGAAAGAAGAAAAGUGCAACGUUUCGUUGGAAAAACCAACGCAAAUAUCAUAUUGACUUUCUCUCGCCCUACUUAUAAAGAUAGAUAGAAAAGGUUGAAGAGAAUUUCAUAAAGUCAUUCUCUCCUUUCUAAAGCUGCGGAAGGCGGCCCCCCAGAACAAAGCCCCACCCCUCUUUUCCCCCUUUUAAUGAAGGACCCUCGCCUCGCUUCCUAUUUAUUUAUGGGUCUGGACCCGAUUUUAAUUUUUUCAAUUUUGAGAAUCAACCAACGGAAAAUUCCGUAGUCCAGGUGACUCACAGCCUCCCUCUUGCCCAAAUAAAUGAAAUGGCAUGAAUCAAAUUAAUAAGCUUUUUGAUUGAUUCUGGGCCCAGCGAAGCCAAAUUCAAUCAAGGAAAGGGGGCUUAAUUUUCUUGAGGUUGAUUCAUCCUAUUCAAAUUUAGCUAUGCUAAUGGAAGAGGAAAAGUUUUUAGAUGAGAUAGACCCCCAAGAGAUGAGCGAGAACCCCCAAUUGCUUAGGGUCGCACUCUGUCCCACUUGGUGGACGAAAUCUUCUCUCCUUUUAGAAUUCUUUCUCCCACAUACCUUUUUUGCCCUCUUUCGCCGAGUUGGAAAGAAUAAUCUAAAAAGUGGACAUAGACCUAAAUUUCCAUUAGAUUCAUUCCUAAGCUUGCUUUGUUGUAGCAAGAUGAUCAGUCCGAGAGUGCUGGAGAGAAUAGAAAGUGGUAAAAACCUCUCUUAUUCGGUCACUGAGAAGUCGGACGACUCUUCAGUAACCCAGGGUGAUCCGACCCCUUUGAUGCUUUUUUCGCUGUAUACCCCCUCCAUCCUUCAGAGGUGGAAGAAAGGGUACUCACAUUUUAAUACAUAGUUGGGCCCCAGAACGCUAAAAUGCGGGGGAACAAGAGUUGUCACGAUAGAAAAGAGAAAUAAAUAAAUGACUAUAAGGAACCAACGACUCUCUCUUUUUAAACAACCUAGAUCCUCCACACUUAAUCAGUAUUUGAUAGAUUAUCCAACCUCGAGCAAUCUUAGUUAUUGGUGGGGGUUCGGUUCAUUAGCUGGCAUUUGUUUAGUCAUUCAGAUAGUGACUGGCAUUUUAUUAGCUAUGCAUUACCACCUCAUGUGGAUCUAGCUUUCAACAGCGUAGAACACAUUAUGAGAGAUGUUGAAGGGGGCUGGUUGCUCCGUUAUAUGCAUGCUAAUGGGGCAAGUAUGUUUUUCAUUGUGGUUCACCUUCAUAUUUUUCGUGGUCUAUAUCAUGCCAGUUAUAGCAGUCCUAGGGAAUUUGUUCGGUGUCUCGGAGUUGUAAUCUUCCUAUUAAUGAUUGUGACAACUUUUAUAGGAUAUGUACUACCUUGGGGUCAGAUGAGCUUUUGGGGAGCUACAGUAAUUACAAUCUUAGCUAGCGUCAUACUUGUAGUAGGAGAUACCAUAGUGACUUGGCUUUGGGGUGGGUUCUCCAUGGACAAUUCUACCUUAAAUCAUUUUUUUAGUCUUCAUCAUUUACUCUCCUUUAUUUUAGUAGGCACCAGUCUUCUUCAUCUGGCCGCAUUGCAUCAAUAUGGAUCCAAUAAUCCAUUGGGUGUACAUUCAGAGAUGGAUAAAAUUGCUUCUUACCCUUAUUUUUAUGUAAAGGAUCUAGUAGGUUGGGUAGCUUUUGCUAUCUUUUUUUCCAUUUGGAUUUUUUAUGCUCCUAAUGUUUUGGGGCAUCCCGACAAUUAUAUACCUGCUAAUCCGAUGUCCACCCCGCCUCAUAUUGUGCCAGAAUGGUAUUUCCUACCGAUCCAUGCCAUCCUUCGUAGUAUACCUGACAAAUCGGGAGGUGUAGCCGCAAUAGCACCAGUUUUUAUAUGUCUGUUGGCUUUACCCUUUUUUAAAAGUAUGUAUGUACGUAGUUCAAGUUUUCGCCCGAUUCACCAAGGAAUAUUUUGGUUGCUUUUGGCGGAUUGCUUACUACUAGGUUGGAUCGGAUGUCAACCUGUGGAGGCACCCUUUGUUACUAUUGGACAAAUUUCUCCUUUAGUUUUCUUCUUGUUCUUUGCCAUAACGCCCAUUCUGGGACGAGUUGGAAGAGGAAUUCCUAAUUCUUACACGGAUGAGACUGAUCACACCUGAUUAGUGAGAAAUUCUGACACCAAUCAUUUACGAGUGAGUAUUACACCAAGAAUUUACAAGCGGAUCGAGGAAUGAAAGGAGAGGAAUUAGAAAAGAAAGAGACGGAUUUCGAAUUAGAGUAAGGUCACGCUAAGACAUUCCUUUUCGUGCUUUCGAUCUGCUUACUUUGAAUAAAGAGGAAAAAAAAGAUUUAGAGCCUGAGUCAAUCAUUAGUUGGGAGCAACUUAAAGGUGAAUUCCUUAACCAUUUUUACAACACUCGUCGUACAGUGAGUAUGAUGGAGUUGACGAACACCAAGCAAAAAAAAGAUGAACCAGUAGUGGACUUCAUCAAUCGGUGGUGAGCAUUAAGUUUAGAUUGCAAGGAUCGCCUCUCAGAAACUUCUGUCGUCGAGAUGUGCACCCUAGGAAUGCAUUGGGGUUUUGUGUAUAUCCUCCAAGGAAUCAAGCCACGCACUUUCGAAGAAUUGGCGACACGAGCUCAUGACAUGGAGUUGAGUAUUGCAAGCCACGGAAAGACUUCACCUAUUUUUGAUCCGAGGAAGGAAGCUAAAGAAUUCAAUCAACCGUCAAAAUACCAAACUAAAAAAUGCAUGGCGGUGGGAGAAACUUCUGUAAAGGCCCCCACUAAGCAAAAUCAGAAAGAAAAAGGAUCGAGACAGGACUUUUGAAGAAAAAGAAACUCCUCCGCAAAAGGUGGAGAGAAUUGAGUUGGUCAUUGCUUCGGGUCAUCGAGAAACUUCGUUAGAGUGGAAAAACAUAGAAAGACUGUUGCCUCGCUUCCAACUGCAUCUUAUGUAAUGUUAGCGUGAAUUGUCACUGAACACUAACCUGCCUUCAGCCCAAUAGAAUUCCCCUCCAUUUUCACACCAAUUGUAAAGAUGCCUUAGUCACAUCACGGGUCACCGUCACCAUACCAACUCCUUCUACUAGUUCCCCUUCUUCCUCUUGUAUGACCCUAACUUCAAAAAGGCAUUUUUGGGGUAAUAGAGACCAGGAAAGAGGGAAGCUUCAGUCAGCCUUAAGGCAUGGAAUCGUCAUUCUCCUUAGCUUUUUUCGUUGAGGUAAGGUAUAAGGUAAGGCCUGCAAGUUCGUUCCUUGAAGUAUUUUCCUCUUAGUUUUAGCUCUUGGAUGAUAUAAUCCAUCUAAUCAAAAGGAAGGAAGGAUAGACAGUCCAGCAGGUGUAUAAGGAUGAAGUGAAGAUGAAGUAAGGAUGGCUUGGGCGCCUCUGGAAUUAUGAAAUCCUCUUCUAGGCAUGUUCCCGAUACUAUACUAGUGAAAGAAGUUCCUUGCCUUUUGUUUUGCUAUUGGGCUAGUGCAGACUUCCUUCUUUAUGCUCAUAGGCUUAACCAACCUAGAGCACGGUGUGCUUGUAUACCAGUAGGCUAUUACGACGCACCGGAGACCUUCGUCCAUAAGACUUUAGGCGCAACGACACAACUAUUAUAUGACCACUUACGCAUUGAUACAUGAAUACGAUGGGAUACGACCGCCCGUAAUGGCUUUCCGUUAGUAUGUAGUUGGAUCGAUGCUUUGCCUCAUCUGUGCUCCUUGGAAACCUUGACUCUUCAAUAGAUUAGAUUCAUCAACACUUAAGAAAAGUGGUACUUUCUCUUUGCCUUACCGUCUUUUCUCAGCGGAUCAGCAACAUAGUCUGAAGUAAGGUUAGUGACGGGAACUUAGCUAUCUUUUGGUCAGGUUUUUCGGGGUUGGUUCCUCUACUAGAAUAGGUCCCGAAUGCCUCACUUCUCUUACUUUCGGUGCUUAUCUUCAAUUAGAAGAUGGUCACCCGCCCUAAGCAAGAUCGGUUUAGCAGGCCAAUUCACGCAUCUUCCGCAGAGUACCAGUGCCAGCCCUAUGAGUUAACUUUCCAUUUGACGGCAAAAAAAGAGCAAUUGGCCCUGUGAAAGUCACAUCUUUGACUAAUAUACACGGGCUUCUGAGAGGAUUUUUUAAUCAAGCCAAGAGGAAUCGAUUUAGCAGUCCAUACCAGGUAUAUUUAGGAGUAACUGGCAGUGAAUGCCCGGUAGCAAAGGUGCGAAGCAGACUCGGCUUAACUUCACUUGAGUUUGGUUUCCCCUGGAAAUAAUGGAAUAAGUUUUUCUUCCUCUUAGCGACUAUGAGCUCAUAGGGAGUUGGAAUGAACUUGGUUAGCUGGGACUAAGAAGGGAUAGGAUUUGAUUAGCGCGCUUUCUGCCUGUCCUUUCCUUACUCUGUCGAUGGUAUGCCUGAGAUGGCAGUCUUUCUCCUUGGCUUGUACUCGAGAUCCGAAAGAAGUGGAUUUUGAACCAGCAUACGCAAAGCAAAGGUCUCAGCAUCCCCGACCUUGGGGCCUAGUCACUGGCUUGAUGGACGCUAUCAUUUCAUGGGAAUUCUUCAGUCUAUGGCUUACUGGUCGGGUAAAGCUUGCACGAGACUCUAAUCACUCUAAUAGUAUCUAUAAUAGAUACUAAUAGUAGAAGUCAUCAGGAUGGUAGCACUUCAGCUACUGCUUCAGCAGCUUUAGAUACGCGCCUGCUUCAGUUUCAUUCAAUAAGAGGGUGUCACCCUCUAGCUGUAAUCUAUCUCUUUCUCGAUGAUAUUCUAUAUUCUCCCUUUUCUACUUCCAAAGCAUAGGAAAUCAUUUUUGUCAUUUAGUAGAGUAUGUCACCUUUGUUUUUUGUUGUAGGAGUGGUACGCCAUAGAUUGUCCCUUGCUUGCAACCCUUCUUUCAAUACAAUACGCCCUUGCUCUUGUAAAUCGAUGAGCAAAAUAUAUAAAUAUAAAUAUAGAAUAAACUCCGCUGAAAGUAGGGAUUAGGGGUAGCUCACUUGUCGACCAAGGAAAGCGGGUCAGUUGAUUGGCAAGCCGACUGAUACGGCCCCUUCUUCUGCUGCGGUUGAAUCGGAUAAAGCUAGUUAGAUAGAGUAAGUGGAGAUGAACAUCUUAUUAAUGUGUGCUCUUCUGUACUUCACUUCUGGAAAUCUCAGGAAUAUUACUAAUAUAUUAUUUAGAUUAUGCGGUUGUUCAUCUUUCAUUUUAUUAUUCCAAACCAAGGGAAUUUUGUGAAGGGAGGGUAAAUCGCCUAGUCGAAGAUCUCUAGACAAGGUCAAACCCCUUAAUCCAGGACUUCUAGAACUUUACCAAUAUUAGGAAUUGGGGUGCUAAUGCUUGCGAAAGUUGUUAGUCACCAGGACAAUCGUCAACUUAGCCAGACCAAACCAAAUAGGUAUAUUCUUACUAAGAAGUCAUCAUAUUCAGCCUUAAAGCAUAUGUUUAACCAUAUAACAAUAAGAAUGAAUAUGAGAAUACCCGACCUAGUCUGUGAAAUUGGAGUGGAAAUAGAAAAUUCCUUACGGAAUAUCUUAGAGAAAUCUCUAUAGGAUCUGAAUACUGCUUAAGUACAAGGUAGUAUACAGACCACCUAAUUUCCACUUCAGGGUCACAACUUCCUGAUGAGAAUACAGCCCGCAAGGGCAAUCUCUUCGGUUGCAGAUGCAGAGGUAAUUGAAAAGGAUCUGAAAGAUAAAUCCCCCUUAAUUACCGGGUCUGUUAAAACAGACCACGCUAAGAAAACUUAGGAGAUCUUACAACCUCCUUCAUCUUCUACUCUCCCUAUCGAGCCAAACAUGUCGGUUUCGGGGGGGCGCCUGGGUUCCAACCAGGAAUCAGAGCGAGAAAGGAAUAAAUCCCCUUUCCACUCUAAUCAGAGAUUCUAUUGGGAUAUUAGGAUUUCUCCAUCACCCCCAAUAGUGCUCCAUUCGACAUCAAUAGAAAGAUCUAACCACUUAAUAACUAUUAAGCAAGACUAAUUCUGUGCUCAGAAAAUCCUACGGGUAAGGGGAAGAAUACCCCAAACCCUUGGGGUUAUAGUUACCUACAACUCCUAAUGAUGCCUUUAUGGUUUGCUCCUGAAAAGAAUAAUCAAGCAACCUUCUUCUUUGUUACAGAACAGACAUUCCAUUCUUUGCUUUCCCAGCACUGACCUCUCUGGUCGAAUGUUAGAGUCGGCUCUACUUCAACUAGUAGUCUUUAAGUCAGAAAUCGCUUUCACAUCUCAUAUGAAAUCUGUACCAACAGACUUCUUCGGAAACCAGUAAGGUAAGUAGCUACUCCAUCUGAUCUAACUCCAGAGGAUCUAACUUAUUUGUUGGAUAGGUUAGCCCCUUCUUCUUCAGGAGAUGCAGCAAGACUACGUUCUCAUCUGAGUUCUCUUCCUCAAUCCACUCUAAGAAAAAGGCAAGUACAGCUACUCUACUUUAGAGUUGAUCCAGCUUCCUUCCGGGUCUCAAUUAGGGUAUGUGGUCCUAUCCUAAAAGAAAGAUCCUAUCUUACCUCCCUAAAAUAAAGGGUUUUAACUACCUCUGAAGAGGCCUCCCCUUCCGUACCUACUCCGCAAGGUCUCGCUCCUUUCACUUCCUCUUCAAUAAGAAAUGACCCUUUUAGUGGCUAUAGUGGCGUACUUAGGUAAUGAAACUCUCGACCAACCCUAUCCCCUAACCCUCAGAGUAAAAAAGGCGCAUCUCCCUCAAAGUCUCCGUCCGCUUCUUCUCCUUCUGGAGCCUCCCUCAUCGGCCAUGCAUCGGACGAGACCAAUUUUGAUAAGGAGGUUUUUUAUUCUCCCCAGUCCCCAUCUACUUCCACCUCGACUCCCGAAAACUAAUCCAUUGAGAGUUCUCCCAACGAGCAGAAAGAGAAAUUGGAGUUUCUAUCUGAAAACCAGCAGAAGCAUUGGACGGGGGAAAUCCUUCAGCAUUCAAGGAAGGCUUAGAGACAGUUGAUCCACGAGGCAAUAUUGGCAAGAUUCUCGACAGAAAAAUGGUGGAAGUUUUCAACAACGAUUCUUCCCUUAGCCGAUUAUUACUCUAUCCUUCUCGUUGUCUUAUCGUAAACUCCUAUCCCUCCUGCUUUCUUUAAGGCUCUUUUCUUUUAAAAAAAAGACAGAAAUGAGUAAAUCAAGUUGAUCGAGCCCAUCUAUUGGUAAAGGAUUCGAUAGCCUAGGAAAGAUCGAUGGAAAGCUCUUUACAAGACCUCUUAAAGCAAGGUAAACUAAUACCCCGAGAGCACAGCCCAAGCGUAAAGCUUUCCUUCUCACGAUAGUACGGUUUUCUCCUAUUUGUCUAGCUCUUUUGAUGGGUCGCUAUAGCAUUUUAGACCUUUCCCCUUUAUUGGCUUACCCCACCGCUUAAGGUAAGGAAUUGUGAGGGAAUCAAUGGUUACAAUUUUGUAUUACAACCUAGCCCCCUUCGCUUGCUUGAUUGAGGGAUACAAAUGAAUAAUAUUACUAGAGUCGAUAGCAAAAGAAUAUCCUUCUCACUUGAGGGUGGGGACUGAAAUGGUAAGGACGAUCGAUAUUUCUUUCAGGGAAACAGAGAAUCCAAAGUGGAAAGGUGGCAGUCGACCACUAAUAGAGCGUUCGAUCCCUUUCUGAUUCCCCUCAAACCCUACUCGCUUCAUUGGUUGAGAAAGUAUGGGAGGGCGUCCUUCAAGCCCUUUGCUUUAUUUGUAACAAUUCUUUCAUCUCUUCUUUAAAGCCUUUUCAAUUGGCUCUUUCUUCCCUUCUGGUUUUUAAAAAGAAUGGCUACUGGCCUUAUUCGUCUUUGGCUAAGGAAAAAGAAACCUCACUAUUACCGACACUGGUAUAGACUAUAGACAUAUUUUGGUGUCCUUCUCGCCUGGUGGCCACAACCCUUUCCUAUCAGCGUAGGUUUUAUAUAGUAUAGCGGAUGGGUUAGUAGUUAAUUGUUAUCCCCUUUUUACCUGUAUUUGGAGUCGUGUCAUUGUUGUCUGUGCAGGCUGGUGUUCUUUCCGAUCUUGUGAUGAGCUUUAGUCGUUCUUUGUUGCUUUAAGCAGUAACAUGUUCCAUUGCAGAAGAAGCAGUUAUGAAGCAGCUAUUCUUUGUUGGAAUCUCUCGUACGAGAUAUUCGGUGUUAUGAGAAAUGUUGGGACUUCACUUUACUUUUGGAAGGAAUUACUAUUAUAUCGACCUGCGAUUUGUCUAGUUCCUGAUCGGUUAAGUAAGUUUUCAAUGGUCUGAUGCUGUUAUAAUCCGUCAGCCUCGCUACCUUUAAUGCUGUGCGAUUGAAUGUUGAAGUAGUGCCGUCUUAAGUGUUGGGCUUGGUUGGAGUUGGUUUACCGGACCGAAGAGUGGCAAGCAAUAUUAUUACAAUACCGAAAAGAACUUGUCGCGGGAGCAGCCAAAAAAGAAGAGACUCCUUCAACAACAAAGAAAGAAAUUGCGUAAGUAAAGAGAAAGAUAGCCAGUCCUCUUGGGCGGCCGAGAGUGUUAUGUAAAAAGGACCAAGGAGGAUCCUAUCCGUCAGGAUAAGGAGUAGGAGUAGGAGCUAGCCUUAGGGGCAGAAUCGAAUGAUUAGGAGAUAAACAAUGAGACAAAGAAGAGCACUUAGACAAUUCACUUUGAGUACAGGGAAGUCUGCUGGUAGGAGUUCCUCAGGGCGUAUUACGGUUUUUCACAAAUUGCGUAAGUAAAGAGAAAGAUAGCCAGUCCUCUUGGGCGGCCGAGAGUGUUAUGUAAAAAGGACCAAGGAGGAUCCUAUCCGUCAGGAGAAGGAGGAGGAGUAGGAGCUAGCCUUAGGUAGGGGCGGAAUCGAAUGAUUAGGAGAUAAACAAUGAGACAAAGAAGAGCACUUAGACAAUUCACUUUGAGUACAGGGAAGUCUGCUGGUAGGAGUUCCUCAGGGCGUAUUACGGUUUUUCACCAAGGGGGUGGAUCGAAGCAAUUGCAGUGAAGAAUUGAUCUAAAAUGAAAGACUGAGUCUAUAGGCGUUGUAGAAAGGAUAGAACAUGCGCCUAAUCGCUCUUCUCGGAUCGCUCCGGUACGAUGGUUCCCCCGGAGGGGGGGGGUCCGCCAAUGCAACAUGAUAGAAGAGUUCGCUCCACCACGUAAGAUUCUCGAAUCAAAAUCAACCACGACUACCAUCUGCGGUCCAUUUUCGUUCUCUUCCCUGCCCAGGAAGGGGGAUCAAAAAAGGGUAGUUUGCUUCUCUCCUGGGCGGAUGGCUACUUAUGUAGUGUUCGGCCUUCCUACCAGAAUGCCUUCUUGGUCGAAGAGCCCCUUUUAUACUAGUAAGGACGCAGGAAGCAAAGAAACUUGCGCGAAGGAUGUUUUCUUCUCUACCCUCUCCUCUCCAAAGGCCAAGGGAGAGACUGCAUCCCUUUCCUUCGAUAGCUCUUUUGGUUUCCCAAAGAUAGCGGUAGCUGGAGCAAAGCCCACUUUUUUGUUUCUGAGAAUGAGAGAGAAAGUCAGAGGAAAAAAUACCUUCUCUCUUUGCGAGAUCCGAAAGUGGAGAACGCAUAGCAUUCUAUGGGUACGUAGGAUCAAACGUAAAACAGCGCUCUCUUGGCAGAGUUUUAGGUGGCAAGAAACUUUAGGGCUUGUUGGAGCUUCUGACCAUAACAAAUCGAAGCCGAAGACAGAUCAAGGUAGCUUGCCUGCCAAGCCGAUAGGCGAAGGGCUGAAGGAUGGAACGUGCAAAGUAGAUCGUGCACCUGUCGUGUGCCCGUUGGUCCUAAGCAAUGUCUUGCGAGAAGUGACCCACAACAAAAAAGCUCCCCUUUUUUUAUGUUAGGGGAGCACUAAAAUGCAACUUUGAUCGGAUGCGGGUAUCAAAUCCCGCCGCUGAGAUGUCCAGCAGAUUCUUGGGCCUUGACGAAUGGCCGACCACCUUUUACGUUAGAAGAGCAAAAGGCCCAGGGCAUAGCAGGAUGCACCAAUGUGAAUGAUUGUAAGCUUCGUUGCCUGAACACGAUUGGUGCUGACCACACUAGGUGCUACCGUGGUAGCAAGAGAGGCCAAGCGGUGACAAUUGAGAGGUUGUCACUGAGCAUUCCUAGUCACACGGGAAAAGAGUUCAAAUGGCAAGGCAAGGCCAUACGCCCGUUUGGCUCCUCAAGAAGUAUAGCUCACAUCCAAACAUCUGAUUGGGGAAUGGGGCAACGCCCAUGAAGCUCCGGCGGAAAGGGAAGGCCUGCCAGGCUGUAUGCCCAUGGGUGCAGGAUUCUUCGAAAAAGCGCAGGCUGACUCGGAGACCUGGGACCUUGGCUUAGUAAUGAAUGAAGGGAAGCUCUUCGAGCUUUCUCCACCAGUGGCUUAUGUAGUGGUCGGCCUUAUAAAUCUCGCUAAGCCUCUCUUCCCUCUUCUCUUCACUUAUGUGUGGAAAAUAGUCGUCGGCAUUCUAUAGGCGACUUGACCGAGUCUACGAAGCUUUGAUUUUCUUGUAGUCGGCCCGUAAUGCCUCCCUUCAUUUGCUUGCCUCCUUUCAGCUCAGAAUGUCUAAUGCCUAUUAUUUAGUGCUAGAAGCUAACCGCCAUAAGCUCUCACCCUUCGGGUCUCGCUUCCAGUGCAGGAGGCCAAGCAUUCUGCCAGACGUCCCGGCCUGGGAGCCCCGUUCACCUUUGGUACUUCAGUAGAUCUUCACAAAUAAAAAACGCUACUUCAGCCUUAACUACAACUACAUUAUGCAAGCCCCGCCGAUACCUACCUAUAGAGUCAAAUUCAAAUAAAAAAAAGCGACGGCGACUUUCUAGAUUUAUGGAUUCAGUCAGCUAAACUCCAUCAAACUCCUCAAUCAAUAUCAACAAGAUGUCGUGACCGCUUAGGCUUGGUUUACUUUGGUUUGAAUGUAAACUAAAAUAAGCGACGUUUACAAAAGGAACUGAAGGUUUCCUUGUUUAGUAGUACGAAAGUAGUUCUACUAUUAAGAUGUUUAAUAUUAAUACAAUAAUACAUAUUAAUACAAUAAAUAAUUAAUAUAUUAAUACAAUAAUACAUAUUAAUACACUCUAUGUUGUGUUGUAGCUGUAGAACAGAAUGCCGUUCGCCCUUACUUUGACUUUCUGAGAAGGACUUAAGUAGCUAAGUUUCCAAAGGUGAACACCCCCUGUCCUUUAUAGUAUAGUCAUAAAGGGCUUCUAAAAAAAGUAAGGAAGAAGGCAUUCGAAAGGCCGACCACUAUCUCAUAGGCAUUCCGGUGGUAAAACCGAUGACUACACGGCUCUAUACCAAGUCAUGAGCGAUAGCGAAGCCAAUUCGCCGUCUAUAGGCGAAGGGACGAAAGCCCGACGAAGGCCUAUGCUACAGUAAGCAAAAAAGUAGGUUGAGGUUAUGAAGUCACUUAGCCAUAUACUAUACAAAGGGAAAGGCAUUGGUACGGAGUCACGUCAGCUGUGGAUAUAGACUAGGCUAUAAGGAACGGAGUCUUAAACUAUGGACCGAGACUACACUAAGGAACAAGGAAACUUGACCGAGAAAAGAAGUCAAGGAACGAAGCAGCUUCUCUAAUAGCCCCGUUGAAUAGAAUAGGUGGGCGAAGGCUUUUUGCAAAAGUCUUUUUUGUCUUGUAAAUGCAUUUUUUUCUAUUUAGAGAGAGGGGGCUUCAAGUUCUUAGGAAGAGUCGUACGAGACUGCUCACGUACGGUUCGGGAGCUGAGCCCCUGCGCAGGGGCUUAGGUCAACACUUAUAUAAUAGCCAGUCAUCAAUUGGAGGCGUGCAAGAUGGUGAUGAAUUGUGAUUGGUCUAAACCUUCGACUAGUGACUUAUUGAGGCCUGCCCAGAAUGCCCAUACAGACUAAGACCUUAUUCACACAGCGAAGAAAGGCCGAGUGUAAGGGGGCAGUCAGCUUGCUGCUUCUUUGCCAUGCGCUUUGCUUUGGUUUAUUUUUUAGAAGAAAGAGACCAAAUGAGAGUGAAAGGCAAGGGAAAGCGAUAGAAAGGAUAGUCCCUCACGCGAACUACUACUACUAGAAAAUGGUGAGACCAUUAGUGAAAGAAGGACCAAGGAGGAUCCUAUCCGUCAGGAGAAGGAGGAGUAGGAGGAGUCAGUUUUCUUUGAAGAUUGAGGAAGGUAGUGUCGGACAAUUAUGCCAUUCGGAAGAAGUCUUCUACAGAAGAAAAGCCUGUUACGAGUAAGUGGAGAGGAAAGAUCUCCAGAGAUUCUUAUCUCAUUCCAUUCUGGUGGCUCAACCAGUAACCAAUGGCGAAAACUCAAAAAUCCAUGGAUUCCCGGUAGAGCCCUAUUUCGCCCAAGUUGUUUCGGAACCAGAAAAAAGAAGCGGUUUUUCGCACAGCUUGCUCAUAGUGCAGGUCCCACUUGUAUAUCGUAUUUGGCCGAAGAAGCAUCGGACAGGUUGGAGUUCUUACCUUCUUGGGACUCCAUGGACCAAGAUCUGCUUUUAUUAUAUGGUCAAUACCGAUCUACUUUAGUAGAUCAUAUGGAUGUAGAAAAAGCAACUAAUUUGGAUGAAAUAGAAAUAUCUCUUUUCCAUUUCUAUUUACCCAGUUCAUAUCUUUGCUUCGUGUGUUCCUGGGAGGAAUUCGAUCUCGGAAUACCACCUAAUAACUACGGCCAGAGAGUCAAAUAGGUCGGGAAGAAAGAGUCUGAGGUCAGGUCGGACGACAUACAUCUUGGUUGGUUCCACUACCACUAGAGAUUGGACAUAUAUAUAAUCUUUCUUCUAAAAAAGGGAUUCUUAUAUAUAUAUUUUGAAAAUAGCUGCAAGACCAAAACCGAAAUCCCUUCUUUUAUUGUUGUUCCUCCCAGACACAUGGCUUACAUACUCGGCUCAACAUUCUUGGAAAACAAUCGAAUCGAGGGUUCGGAGGAGAAUUGGCCAUUCAAUCUUGUGAACUAAUCAAGACUAAAAUUGGAAAAAGAGAUGUGAACGAAGAGGAAUAACCAAUCGAUGAAAGAACAUGAAACCAUUCUGUUUCAAUAGAAGUACGAGAAACGGUUGGGGGCAAUGAAGUAGGUGAAGUGGUUGGAUUUUGCGAGCUGUUCCAACCACUGCUGGAUGUGAUUCCAAGAGCCGAACAAGAAUGAAUACCACACAGAAGAGUCAAGACCAGGCUACCUAAUGAAAUGUUUAACCGAUCCAUUCCGGAUCGACCGAAUUGGUACGAAAGUUGUAACAUGGGAAAACCACGGAAAACACGACUUAUUUGAAUAACCCGGUGACCUACCAAUUGUAGAAGUAGGAUUUUUGGCAAGCAAUAAGCACUUAAAUAAUACAAUUCAAGUGUACCAUUUUCUUUCUCAUUUCGAGGAAAAGGUGCGAAAGGAAAAGAAAACAAUGGAGGGAUCCGAAUCGGACCUAAACGGGAAUGACAUAAAAAGUCUUUUUCAAAACCUAGCAUUAAGGGUAUUACGACGAUAUACGAGAGGAAUAGAGAAAAACUCGUGAUUGGUGUGGAGGGGAAGAUCUGUUUAUGAUAUACGAGAGGAAUAGAGAAAAACUCUGAACGCCGCAUAACAUCAUCUUCAACCAACCUCCACCGUACUUUCGGUGCGAACACUAAAGAAUUGCUUAUACACUAAAGAGUUGCUUAUAUACGUUUACUAAAAGACUGACUUUCAUUCAUUAUCAUUAGUCCAGCGUGAAACUAAGAAAGAGAGAUAUGCCUAAGGCAGCAUGUAAGCAAACUGUGCACGCUAAGAGAAGAGGAGAGAUGUUCGCAAUUACUACCACAAGAAAGCCGCCCCCUAUCUUCUAAAGGGGCCCCUCACUUCGUUCGUACCUUCUUGGCUUAGGCUUCCAACUGUACAACAUGGCCUUGCCGCCCCGCCACUAGCAGAAGCUAAGCGCUUGAAAAAUGCGCUAAGAAAGGUUCCUUCUGUCGCCCUUUCUGUGCAACAGUACACCAGUAGCGAAAGAGAGGGUUACCGUACAUACAAAAGUCUUCCAGUUCUUACGGAAGCUCUUUCUUACCAGUCAAUCAAGUAGUACAAGAACUGUAUCUUAUCUUAUAGCCCGGCGCGGCGGGUCGCCUUUGAAAUGUUUGUUGUAGAUAGAAGAAAGUAUUAAAUAGAUAAGGAGUAGAUGAGUGAGUGAGUCCUCACCUGAGCGAUUUCGAUCACCUAGCAGGCCUUUUAUUUGGUAGGUAACAUCGCCAAAGCGUAUCAUCAGAUUUGACUACGAAGGAAGGAACUCGAAGUGAAAGGGCCCCGUCUUGUGCAAGGCAACGAUAGUUGGCCUUCUAUCAUCUUCUAUCUGGUAGACUUGGUAAAAGAGCCCCGACUUAUUUCCAGAAUUUGAGUUCGACCGCGGCUUCUCUUUUUUUUGGGGGGGAUCAAGUUCCUUGCCAACUGCCACCUAUCGACCCCGAUCUCUUUUCAUUUGUUUUGGAUAUUACCAAACCUAGCCUAGCCUUCGUAAAUCACACUAGAGCGGACACCCAACUAUGGAAAAGCCUCCAACAUGGUGGGUUAGGUUAGUCAAUCCGGCCCGAGACGCGUUCGUUGACAAAACCGUCGUAGGAAUUCCUACUUUUCAAUAGAGCGGAGGCAAACUGAUCAAAGAGAAAGAGGCCCUACUCACUACAAACGAAUACACCACAAGAUUGAACUGCACUCAUGCCUCUCCCGCAUCAAGUUGACUGCCCCCCCUACGUAGUGAUUCUAUCAAUCAUGUACGUAGGUAGGACCCUCCAUUCUGAUUGGUAUAUCAUGAAAAAAGAAAGCCAUUUGCACCAGGCGCACUGCGCUUUCCCUUGCCCAGAUGUUCGCCUUGCUAAGUCAAGUAAUGGUGACCCACCAAAGACUGGAGCUUUGUAACAUGUUGACGAAGGCCCCCGAACUGAGGGUUCGGUUAGUAGAAGGGACGACUUUGUCUCCCCGAAAGAAGAAUAGCCCCGCUCUCUAGCCGACUGAUCCCGUUGAUCAUAUAACUGGGAGGGAACGUGUCACAUUAGACGUGAACGAUCAGAGGUGUCCUCUAAUCACCACGAUGAGGCUAGUCCCUCUUUUAGUAGACUCAGCUAUGAAUAUUCAUUCAGAAAUGAAUGCCGGGCUCUUUCUUUCACGCUAACCCCAUUUUCAACAUGCUGAAACUUUCUGUUUCGUCGAGCCCUGAGCUUGUGGUCCUCCUUUGAGUGUGGGUUCAAUUGAAUAAAUCUAUCAAGUCAAGAAAAACGUACAUAGCAGCAAGGAUGGUGCAUCGCCUAUUUAUCGUUCUCGCUUGGGAGCCAAAACGAACACGCCUGCUACCUACUGUACUGGACCUUCGACCAGGUAUUCUACCUUUGUCGAAUUGGAACCAACACCACUGCAUUGCACUCGAACAGUUGAGCGGCCGCCGGCCAGCAACUUCUGUGCACAGAUAUAGAUUUAUUCCUCGUACCUGGUCCAGCGUCACAACCCUUCGCGGGUUGGUAAGAAGUCAGUCUUGUUUGGUAAGACGGAAUUAGACAAAGAAAAGAGAGUGCUCGACCGGAACAACGUCCAACAACGUAAUUACAUAGAUAACUGCUCCUCCCCUUCUCCUUAAGGCUUUAAGGCAAACCGUAUGGUGGCUGGAAAGAAAGACGACCUCACCUUCUCUGGUGUCAGUGAGAGCAAUUUGAGUAUCCCCCGUUGACCUUCUUUUGUAGAUAGAAUCUUCAAUGAGUGGAAAGAAGCAACCUUACUAAGAAAGGUGCUUGUUGAGUAAGGCCGGCUUUCGAGCCCAAGCCCCUUGUAUAGGUUGGGCGCUUGAGCGCAUCUUUCUCAUAUCGAUCAAGGCUUUCCUUGAGUUUGAAAUAAGGGGCCAGAAGCAAGGGCGUAGCAGCUGCGCGAAAGCCCUUGCGCCUUAGCGCAUCCCUUUUCUUGCAGGAGUGCUAACGCGCGACCUUACGUUUUCUUCCGCUUGCUCUAUAGUACGAACUACAGAGCCGCGCUCCUUUAAUAUGAUGAGAAGAAGGGGGGCCGGCCUCUUUUCCGUACCAAUCCUUAUUUACUACUACAUCUUUUUUUGGGUGUAUAGCUCAGUUGGUAGAGCAUUGGGCUUUUAACCUAAUGGUCGCAGGUUCAAGUCCUGCUAUACCCAAACCUACCUUACACUCUACUAUGAAUAAGGAUGCAUAGUAGCCUUCAAAGAUGACUCUUUGGCCUUUCGACUCGCUUCGGCGACUUCGCCCUUUAAGUGACAAGGGGGUGAGCCGCUCCAAGCGGAAAGCGAUAGUGAAUCCCGAACUUGCCCACGCUCAUCCAAACCGGCCUCAAAAAGCGAUCGGAAAGCGAAGCCCUUCCUUCCAAUCCAAUAUUCUAAAGAUAGUAAGUGUGACCUGUGUGGUUUCUGAGCAGCAGCUUUCAAUCGUUCCCAACGCUUAGAUUGAGUAGAAUGUAAGCGCGACCGAACUCUGAAUCCUGCCCCUCCCAGCCUUUGAAGCAUCGAUAUAGAAAUCGAAUAUCUUGCUGACAAUUGGCAAAGACCCACAGUCGUUCGACAAGCAGUUAAUGCCCUAAGAGAAAUUGGCGAUAAGUCUAUUUGCAUAUCCUUAGUCCAAAAUCUCUUAGCAAACUCGAUGGUUCCGUUCUCGGAUAUUAUCGAUUUUGCUACCGAGAUUGUUACCCCAAGUUUGUCCAGCAGACUACUAUACUGCUCGGCCACUCUCUGUUCUUAAGUAAGGGUUCCCAUCUCUAAAAAAAAAGAAUAUGUUAAUCGUUACCGAUACCAGGCAGAGUUGCUUUUCCUUGCUCCAGAGGAGAUUGGUAUUGGUAGAGUCGCAUUCAACCCCGUCUUUUUGCCCUUUGGCUGGUAAUCACAUCGGCCAUAAGGUGGUCUAUCACCUCGGUUGGGGAGAAAAGCUUUUUUGUUGUUAUUCUUCAUCAUAAGCUAAUUCCUUUGCCCUCUAGUAGCAACAUGCAACGCUUUCAAGAGUAAGUUUCCGGAAGAAAGACGGUCGUGUGCGAGUCGGCUGGGAAAACACAAGCUUAACACGUCUUUCUUUAUCUUUUUCAUAUCUGAAUGUCUUUGUCGAGUUGGUUGGCAUCAUUCGCUCAUUUCUGUCUUUUCAUUGUCCGCCUCCGCCCGAAUAGAUAUGCACUAACCCACCUGAAAUAAGGUAAAAGCCUUCUUUCCAACCCUUUGUAUGAGACUCCUUUCUUCGUACAAAUGCUCGUAGGCGAAAGAGACCUUCCUUUGCUCCUGUCGGCGGGAUCAGCCAGUGUCCCCGUGUGUAAGGCCCUUUCCUGAAAGAGGUCGAAUAGUUCCUGUCCCAUUCAUACUACUGUUGGCUUCUGUGCUAUGUCUAGCGGCUGGUGAAUCCUACCCAGUAUCGGAAUUGGAUUUGAUAUUUCCUCGGUUUACGAGAAGGGUUUUAAUGGCGACCGGACUCCUCUUCUCUGGAAGUCUAAUGGUUUGGGGGACGUCGAUUCCCUGGAUUUUCUGGCUUCCCUUUCCCUUCAACCAGCCACUCUUUUAGUUCCCAAAAUAUAUAUAAUCCAGAAUCCUUUUAAGCGCCUUAUCACGAAAGUGACCAAGCAAGCAGAUGAUGAUGGUUCAGCCGGUAAGCUAACAAGCAACCGAAAUGAAGGAAGAGGAGACCCUUCUAUUAUAAGUUGAAAGCGAAGUCGAUAGUCCUCGUAUUGGUAAUUAUUAUACGCUAAAAAAUCUAUAUAAGAUAUAGAAGGCAAAAUAUGAGAAAAUGAAAUAAAUAAAGAAAAAGAAGAAGGCCCUCUCCUUACAGUGGCUGAACGCUCCUCUACAACUACCUUUCGCCCAACAUGAUCACGAACGAAGACAGAGAAUUGCGUAGAUAGGAGGAUAAAAUGAACCAACCCACUUGUCCUGAUCGAAAGAAGAAAGAAAGAGAAUAGUGUAUCAUUUUCAACCAGUCAAGUGGCCCAAAGGCCACCUUUUGCCCAGGGGACAUUGUGUGAGAACAAUGUCGGGGACAAGGUGAGAACAUUCCGUUGGUUACCCCUUUAAGUGUCGGUUCUUCCAUAUUUAGAUAUGGAGAUAGAUCCAUAUAGAGAUCUAUAUCUUUCUAUCGAUAAAUAGAUCUAUUGAGAAAUGGAUAUUGAUCUGGUUUCAAGAUCUAUGAACAAGAGAGAUCCCUAAAUAUCCAUUUGUGGCUCCUUUCCAACCAGUCAAGUGGCCCAAGGGCCACCUUUUGCCCAGGGGACAUCGUCGGAGAACAAUGUCGGGGACAGGGUGAGAACCUUCCGUUGGUUACGCCCUUUAAGUGUCGGUUCUUCCAUAUUUAGAUAUGGAGAUAGAUCCAUAUAGAGAUCUAUAUCUUUCUAUCGAUAAAUAGAUCUAUUGAGAAAUGGAUAUUGAUCUGGUUUCAAGAUCUAUGAACAAGAGAGAUCCCUAAAUAUCCAUUUGAGAAAAUAGAUGAAUAGAUAGGGCGAAGCCAGCUGAAGGAAGGUCGCGUUAGCGCCCCCUAUUUCACUAAAGCAAGAAGGGAGAAAGUUGACUUUGAGAAAGAAGGGCUUCUAUUUAGAUUAGUUUCUUAGUAAAAGAUAAGGCAAGAAGCAAGGGCGUAGCAGCUGCGCGAAAGCCGUUGCGCCUUAGCGCACCCCUUUUCUUGCUCGUUAGCGCCCCCCUACCCCUAUUAUUUAUAUUAUAGUCAUAAAGGAACUAAAGGAAAUUUGACAACCUUACUAAUAGAAAGGGGAUGCGCUCAAGCAUGCGAAGAAAGCUCGAAGAGCUUCUCUUAUAUUAUAGAAAGGUUUGUAGAAAGGGGAUUCUUCAAAUAUCCCAUGUUGUAGGGGCUUCAAAGAAAGCUUGUAGUUUAGGGGUGCGCAGGUUUGGAACCCUAUACAAGGGGCUAGCGCGCAAUGGCUUUCUCUGAUAGAGGCUCGCUUCUUCAAGUUCAAGUUCCGCUUGCUGCUUUUCAUUUUGAUAGGAGUAGGUGCUUGCAGCUCGCUCGCUGUCUACUAAAUGAGCCUUCACUGCCCGCCCGGCCCCUAUCUUUAAUCUUAAGUAAAGUGAAGUCAAAUCAAUGAAGUGAACAGCCCAACCUCUUUGUUUGAAGCUUUGUUUCCCCUAAUUCCGAAACACAACAAUAGACUUGCCACUAUAGUGACGGAAAAAGCUUCUCUUUGAUAAGCGGUUAUAGGGGAGUUCAGAAAGGAUCUGAUCGUAGAUAGAGACUUCAACCUGUGCGGGGGUAGGGGCGGAUGUAGCCAAGUGGAUCAAGGCAGUGGAUUGUGAAUCCACCACGCGCGGGUUCAAUCCCCGUCGUUCGCCCAUCAAUAAAUGGACCGUUUGUUUCGGAGACACAAGACAAACCUAGAAAGCAUUUUUUCUGCAAGUCAUCUCGAGGCUUUCAAACGCAUCCAAGCAAUUGGUAUCCGAUUGAAAGAUAGAAAGCAUAGAUUCGCGUCGCCUACUUGCUGAAAGCAAAAAUGGAAUGGCCGAUCAUGAAUUCUAUGACGUUUUUAAGACCUCACUAAUCAGCCAACCACUUUUUAGUUCAUAAUGAAUGAACCCCCGGAUGAAGAAAAAAUAUCCCCUCCCUUUUACUAAACCAUGGGGAGCCCCGAGUAGUUUACCGGACAAAUUGAGUUGUCGUGACGAUACCUUUCAACAUCGGAAAUUCUCUUCAUCACGAGACUGAUCGGAUCUGCCGUAGACACCCGAGAGAUCUUCACAAGGCAGGCUAAAAUAAAAGACUAAGAGGCGCUGCAAGCGAGCAAAGAGUUAUGCUUUCAUUUCUUUGUUGAGAUUGAAAUCUUGGGAAAGGGUUAGGUAUAAUGCACGCAGGCUAAGUCAAGAAAAGGACUUCCUUACCUUUCAUUCAUAGUAGUCUUAAUGACUAGUAGUUUGAAGCCUUAAGAAAGCGGUUUUUUUUCGGCACUCGCUUCCUUCGUCUUAAGUAAAGUUCAGUUGACUUUUUCGAUUCGGAACUCUUAGUCGAGCUGAUGGCGAGAUCGAUUUUUUGUUCGAGGUUCAAGAGGAAGGAGAGGAACCACCGCCCAAUGGUGCUUUUACGAAAGUAUGGUCACCGGUGGCUAAUACCUUCUCGAGACUAUCGAACCUGAAAUCCACUUUCCAUCGCUCUUUUUAGGUUGGCAUAAUAUAGAAAGAGAGUGCCAAGAAAGAACACAUACCUAUCACUUUUGGAAGGUUUGGAACCCUUACUCAACAUAGGGUCCAAAAACCCGACAUACCCUUUUUUUAGAGCGUAUAAGGGGAAAAGAGCUCUUGCAUCGUUAGCCGCUUUUCAGCAUUUCCUGCCUGAGUUGUUGACCAUCACCUGACCUCACACGGGAGGCCCCGCGCCGAGUGAUUCUCCCCCAAAAAAGUCUACAUGUGAUGUUCCGAAAACAGAAACAUGUGAUUUAGUAAAUUAGAACCCAUUGUGGGGCAGGGAACAACUAUCAACUAGUUUGAAAAGUUCUUCCAUUUAGUAAUGGAAGUCAUCCGUUGUCACUUUCGUUGGGUAUGGUAGAGAGGCUUGAGAAGGUGGACAAUCCUUCAGUGAAGACCUAACGAGAGGCUGAAUUCAAACACACCCAAAAUCCACAAGAAUCGUACGAACAUCUAUGGAGCGUAGCAAGGAACCUUGGCUUCAGCUCUCGUCACCUCACUCAAUCCUACAGCGGAAACUCGAGUCGAGGCGCUGCAAGCGAGCAAAGAAGCACUUCUUGUAACCAAAACAAAAACCCCAUGGAUCCGAAAUUGUUCUGGACCACGCCGCGUCAUUGAGACUGCCACCUUCCUAUUUGAGUAAGGAAUGAAUAUCGGACCCUACUGACGUUCAAUCGACGACCGGGCCUAGUGGUGCUUGCGGCUUUUCCUAUUUCGGCUUGGAUUGAAAAUACUGGACAGGAAAGGAAAACAAACUGUCUAGCCUUUCAAGCCUUACUAUACUAAGUAAAGGGGGAUGCGUUGUUAGCUGCUUUAACCCUACUUCUGCUCAACAUCGAUCCUCUCACAUACUUCCUCAAGCAGCGGAAGACUCAAUG